GAGGCCAACACUACAAGUCCAGCCAAGCAAAAGAUGUCUAGAAGUUACCAUGAUGACAGAGACAGAAGGCCGAUUUGGUUAAGGAAGACAGAAGUAGGAGGCUUGGAGAAGCAGAAACACAGGAAUUAUCUGGAGCCCAGGAGCUCAGAGAAGCCAAAAGAACAGCAUUAGGGAGUGGGUUGUUUUAAUGGCCUGCUGAACACAGGUAUCUCUGGAUCCAGAGACGUUGAUUGUAACUUCAGAACAGACAGAUACAUGUAGAUUAAGUCAACUCCUGACUAAGGCAAAGAUACAGAAUCUAGGAUUAAUUUACAGUCUCAGUGGUAAAUAAUAAUAAUAAAUAACAAAAGUCAAUACUUACAUAGCACUUAGUAGUACUUUGUGUAUAUUCAAUCCUCACCAUAACCCUGUGAGGUCUCAUGAGAACUCUCCCAGAGAAUCCUAGAAAUAAAAGGGAGGCUUUGAAUGGGAGCAGGAAAAAGGUGAGGCCCCUGAGUUGUACAGUAUUGGUGUUUUGAGACCUAGAAGACCCUUCAUUAGAGAACUUGAGAAAUCGCUACAAUAAUCAGAUACACACUUGUGCUGAGGAAGAUGGCAGAGUGGGAGGUGCCAGGGAGAGAAUGAUAACUUCUCCAUACUUUGCUUGGGCUUCAGAAGAAAAGGUGCUGGAAGAAUAAUGCCCCUGGCAAUGAAUUACAAA